rnacentral:rRNA from 1 species
GACGUAGGAGGCGAGCGUUAUCCGGAUUCACUGGGCGUAAAGCGCAUGUAGGCGGUUCUGUAAGUCCGUUGUUAAAGCCCCCGGCUCAACUGGGGGAGGUCAAUGGAGACUAUAGGACUUGAGGGCAACAGAGGCACAUGGAACUCCCGGUGUAGCGGUGAAAUGCGUUGAUAUCGGAAGGAACGCCGGUGGCGAAAGCGACGGACUGGAUCUCUUCUGACGCUGAGGCGCGAAAGCCAGGGGAGCAAACGGG